rnacentral:rRNA from 1 species
UGGGGAAUAUUGCACAAUGGGCGCAAGCCUGAUGCAGCCAUGCCGCGUGUAUGAAGAAGGCCUUCGGGUUGUAAAGUACUUUCAGCGGGGAGGAAGGGAGUAAAGUUAAUACCUUUGCUCAUUGACGUUACCCGCAGAAGAAGCACCGGCUAACUCCGUGCCAGCAGCCGCGGUAAUACGGAGGGUGCAAGCGUUAAUCGGAAUUACUGGGCGUAAAGCGCACGCAGGCGGUUUGUUAAGUCAGAUGUGAAAUCCCCGGGCUCAACCUGGGAACUGCAUCUGAUACUGGCAGGCUUGAGUCUCGUAGAGGGGGGUAGAAUUCCAGGUGUAGCGAUGAAAUGCGUAGAGAUCUGGAGGAAUACCGGUGGCGAAGGCGGCCCCCUGGACGAAGACUGACGCUCAGGUGCGAAAGCGUGGGGAGCAAACAGG